rnacentral:misc_RNA from 1 species
CUUCGCUAGUAAUCGCGGAUCAGCAUGCCGCGGUGAAUACGUUCCCGGGCCUUGUACACACCGCCCGUCACACCACGAGAGUUUGUAACACCCGAAGCCGGUGGGGUAACCUUUAUGGAGCCAGCCGUCGAAGGUGGGAUAGAUGAUUGGGGUGAAGUCGUAACAAGGUAGCCGUAUCGGAAGGUGCGGCUGGAUCACCUCCUUUCUAAGGAUAACUUCGGAAAGUAACCAAUCGUGGUUACUACUCAUCAGCGUUUGUGUUCAGUUUUGAAGGUUUCAUAAUCUUCAAAACCUUGCUCCUGCGAUUACUCGUCGCAAAAGCAAACUUUUGUUCUUUGAAAACUGAAUAAAACGAUAUCGAAAACAAACAAAACAUCUAUUUUUUAAAUAGAAACAAGUCAAGUAAUUGACGUGUAUCUCUUAAAAUCUUAAACCUCCGGGUUUAAGUAGUAACUUUUAGGUUAAGU